rnacentral:rRNA from 1 species
UACGUAGGGUGCAAGCGUUGUCCGGAAUUAUUGGGCGUAAAGAGCUCGUAGGCGGUGUGUCGCGUCGGCCGUGAAAACCUGCAGCUUACUGUGGGCUUGCGGUCGAUACGGGCAUCACUGGAGUUCGGCAGGGGAGACUGGAAUUCCUGGUGUAGCGGUGAAAUGCGCAGAUAUCAGGAGGAACACCGGUGGCGAAGGCGGGUCUCUGGGCCGAUACUGACGCUGAGGAGCGAAAGCGUGGGGAGCGAACAGG